CUCCCCUUUCCAAUGGGGAAGGAAGUAUGAAAGGGGAGUGAAGUGUGGCCACAGCAGCAGCCUCUCCUGCCCCCCUGCAGUCAUGCUCACAGUGUGUGACUCUCUCUGGCCCAGGGGGAGAGCAGCUUUGUGUGGGAGCAGUUUCUUCCUCCAUGGAGGACUGGAGGAAUGGAGGAGGGGUGGUGUGUCCUGUGGAAGGGUACCAUUAAAUUUAUUUAUUGGGAGGGUUGUGUGGCAGAUGUCAAAUGGGGUUUCAUCAUUUGGUCACAUGGGUCUUAAGAUAUCAUCCUCAAGUGAUGACUAUGCUUAGUGUGUGAAAAUGAAGAUUUGGGGCACAUAAUAAUAUCCACAUAUUCAUCAUCA